UCAGCCCCGGUGCUAGUCCACCCUGACCCUAACAGUUCUUUUACAUAGGAGGUGGAUGCCUCCGAUUCCGGUAUCGGGGCUGUGCUUUCCCAGCACUCUGGGAAGGACAAUUUGGUGCACCCUUGUGCUUUUUUUUUCAGACGUCUCUCCCCUGCUGAAAGGAAUUAUGACGCGGGGAACCAUGAACUGUUGGCGGUACACGAGGCUCUGGUGGAGUGGAGGCACUGGCUGGAGGGGGCCAAACACCCAUUUUUAGUCCUAACGGAUCACCGCAACUUAAUUCACAUUCGCUCCGCUAAGAGGCUCAACAACCGUCAGGCACGAUGGGCACAAUUUUUUAGUCGUUUUGACUAUACACUGUCUUUCAGACCAGGCUCCCGCAACACGAAGGUGGAUGCCCUCUCUUGCCAAUUCUCGGAAGAAACCUCAGCCCACCCACAGCGGAUCUCAUCAUCCCUCCUGCUCGUAUUAUGGGCGUGGUAACUUGGGAGGUCGAAAGUCUGGUCAGGGAAGCUUUGCGCUCUGACCCGGGUCCGGACGGUGGACCAUCCGACAGACUGUUUGUUCCCAAGGAACUACGCCCUAAGGUAUUGGACUGGGAUCAUUCCAUUGUCUUCGUUUGUCAUCCUGGAGUGCACAGGUGCCUAUCGUUUAUCCGACGGCAUUUUUGGUGGCCAUCCACGGAGGCUGAUACCCGGGAGUUUGUCGCUGCUUGCACCAUCUGCUCCCGCAACAAGGCUACCCAUAGCCCCCCGGCAGGCCUGUUGUGUCCGCUACCCAUCCCCAGCCGACCCUGGUCCCACUUUGCUGUGGACUCCAUUACGGGAUUCCCCAUCUCUCAAGAUUUUUUGCAAGGGAAAUGGGGCCACGGUCAGUCUCACCUCCGGUUACCACCCCCAGAGUAAUGGUCAAGUGGAGAGAGCCAAUCAGUGUGUGGAAACCAUGCUGCGCUGUAUGGCUGCUCACAUCUUGGAGCAAGUACCUUCCCUGGGUGGAGUACGCCUACAACUCCAUGGCCAGCUCUGCAACGGCCCGGGCAGCAAGUGAUGCUGCUUAACAAGGACCUUCAUCUUCCGGCAUCAGCUCAAAAGUUGGCACCACGCUACGUGGGACCAUGUCCCAUAGAGGAUCAUCAACCCGGCCUCCGCUCUGUCAUGACAUGGACUUUCGCGCAGUUUCCUGCGGGAGUUGCUUUCCCGGAAUGCAAACAAACUUGACUGGACAUCGGAUGAAGAACCGCUGUCACGGCGCGGAGUCGAACCCAUGUUUCCUCUGCAGCUGGAGCUGCCGACACCUCCGCUGGCAGCGCACUCAGACACACCCCUGCUCGUGCUGAGCGCAGCACGCCCACACAUCAACAAGCCUGCAGACAAUCUGUAAUCUGCACACCUGGACUUGAUGAGAGGGAGCAGCAAAAAUACCAGCGGACCCGAGAAACCUUUGCCAGAACAUCGCUAA